rnacentral:rRNA from 1 species
CCUACGGGAGGCAGCAGUGAGGAAUAUUGGUCAAUGGGCGUAAGCCUGAACCAGCCAAGUCGCGUGAGGGAUGAAGGUUCUAUGGAUCGUAAACCUCUUUUAUAAGGGAAUAAAGUGCGGGACGUGUCCCGUUUUGUAUGUACCUUAUGAAUAAGGAUCGGCUAACUCCGUGCCAGCAGCCGCGGUAAUACGGAGGAUCCGAGCGUUAUCCGGAUUUAUUGGGUUUAAAGGGUGCGUAGGCGGCCUUUUAAGUCAGCGGUGAAAGUCUGUGGCUCAACCAUAGAAUUGCCGUUGAAACUGGGAGGCUUGAGUGGAAGAGAAGUAUGCGGAAUGCGUGGUGUAGCGGUGAAAUGCAUAGAUAUCACGCAGAACCCCGAUUGCGAAGGCAGCAUGCCGGCUUCCGACUGACGCUGAAGCACGAAAGCGUGGGGAUCGAACAGGAUUAGAUACCCGGGUAGUC